CCAAGAUUUCCGCCCCUGCACCAAGGGGUCAGGGACUGUCAAAUAAAGAUGCUGCCGUUUACAAAUUCAUUGAACUGCGGGUGAAUAACAACUGGGGCCAUCCAGAAUAUACUUGCCUCUACCGGUUCCGUGUCCACGGAGAAGCAGCAAUGUGAUUCUGGAUGCGGCUGCCCCGCCCGCACUCUACAACACAAACAAACUCUACCUAAUCUGGAUUCAAAGUUGAUUUUCCGCAACAAUGUCAAUUUCUGUCAUAAAUGUUUAUAGUGUUUUAAAUUAUUUAUAAUUAUUUUAUCUUAAAUAUAUUUAGAAUGAAACAUC